UUUGGCAACACAUAUAUUAAAAAAAAAAUUGGAACGAUACAGAGAUUAGCAUGGCCCCUGUGCAAGAAUGAUGUGCAAAUUCAUGAACCGUUCCAUAUUUUU